rnacentral:rRNA from 2 species
AUACCCGCUGAACUUAAGCAUAUCAAUAAGCGGAGGAAAAGAAACCAACAGGGAUUGCCUCAGUAACGGCGAGUGAAGCGGCAAUAGCUCAAAUUUGAAAUCUGGCUCUUUUAGAGUCCGAGUUGUAAUUUGUAGAGGAUGCUUCGGCUUACGUUUCGGUCUAAGUUCCUUGGAACAGGACGUCACAGAGGGUGAGAAUCCCGUUUGUGGCCGAGACUUCCGCCAUGUGAAGCUCCUUCGACGAGUCGAGUUGUUUGGGAAUGCAGCUCUAAAUGGGAGGUAUAUUUCUUCUAAAGCUAAAUACCGGCCAGAGACCGAUAGCGCACAAGUAGAGUGAUCGAAAGAUGAAAAGCACUUUGGAAAGAGAGUUAAAAAGUACGUGAAAUUGUUGAAAGGGAAGCGCUUGCGACCAGACUUGCCCGCGGAUGCUCAACCGGUCCUUCGGCCGGUGCACUCUUCCGCGGUCAGGCCAGCAUCAGUUCGAGCGGUCGGAUAAAGGCCUUGGGAAUGUGGCUCUCUUCGGGGAGUGUUAUAGCCCUUGGUGUAAUACGGCCCGCCUGGACUGAGGCCCGCGCUUCGGCUAGGAUGCUGGCGUAAUGGUCGUAAGCGGCCCGUCUUG